ACAGGAGCUUUUAUCUGCACAUUAUAGGUUAGCAUAGAGGAAUCAUGACCCUAAAAUGUGUGGGAAAAUCCCAAAGGUUGACCACUGUCAAUGGGAACUACCCCAGAUGUGUCAGGAGCACAACCGGCAUGCUCACUUCUUCACUGCCUGGAGCUGGACCUCAACUAGUUGCUACUGUCCUCCUGGAAUGUCUAGUAAAAUAAACACUAAAGCUUUGCAGUCCCCUGAAAGACCAUGAAGCCCUGAGAGUAAUGUACAGAUUCCUGAAAUUGAGAGUUAAUGUAACAGGGAAGAAGACACAUGGCCUGUUCUUGAACAUGGGAUGUGAACUCUGUAACAUAGACUGUCUCUCAUAAGGCUUUUUUCAGCUCAAAGAGCAAGGCUCAGACAGCUUGCUCUUGUGCCUAACAGACAGCCUUCUGUCUGAAGACUGGAGAAAGAGCUCCAGUGAGAUUUACUGUGAGGUACUGGCUCAAGUAACUGUGAAAACUGUAAAGCUCCACAGCCUUGCAUCUACAAGGUGAAGAUCCAGGAAAGCCCAUGGCUUCGUUCAAAGGCCUGAGAGUCAGAAGUCAAGGGCAAGAGAAAACUGGUGUUCCAGCCCCAUUUUUGGCAGAGAGGGAAUUCAAUCUUCCUCCACGUGUUGCUCUCUUCUGGCCUGCAGAAGAUUGGAUGAGGCCAGCCCAUGAUCCUCACUCAGUCCACUGAUUCAAACGUUCAUCUUCUCCAGAAACAUCCUCAUAGACACACCCAGAAAUCAUGCUUUAACAGCCAUCUGAGCCUCUCAUGGCCCAGUGAAGUCGACACAUAAAAUUAUCACAUAAGAACACACCUUCAAAUUCAGGUUGUUUUUCAAUGCCUAAGUAUGAAGUUCUAAAAAGCAUGUACCUAUGAGGUAUUAGAAUGAAUACAUCCUUGUUUAAUUACCAUAAUAGAAUAUGUAAAGUAAUAUUUAUUUGUCUUAAAUAUGUCUUUAAUAUAAAUAUACCUAUUAUGUUCCAUCAUUUUGUAGUAUUUUGUGGUUUCAAUUCAGUCCAACCUAAUGUAACUAUAAAAAGGAUAUUGAAAAGUUACAGGAAAGGAAAACUAAGACAGGUGCAGCCUUGACUUGAAAGAGUUUACAAAUUAGGAAGAAAUACAUGUGAACAGAAGGCCUUGAUACAGACAAUGCUUGUCAGAGUAUUCUAAAAAAGGUCUUUCCAAAACAGCUCUGAUUAUGAAAAAUGUCCAAGGUCUCCACAUUGUCUGCAAGAGAAGACCUAACCCCAUAGACUUUCCCUACAGAGACAUUUGCCCUCAGAAUUCAUUUUCGCUCUUUGUCUUCUGUUUCCUCCUAACCUGCAUUCAGGAACCCUUUAGCUUUUAGUCAUAC